rnacentral:rRNA from 1 species
UUGAAAGGGAAACGAUUGAAGUCAGUCGUACCGACGGAAAAUCAGCUCUUCGAGUGCGGACUUGUGGGCGUACGUGAGCUUUAACCGGCCUCGUCGUUUGCUACGUUUGUGCUUUUUGGGUGUACUUUUCCGUAUGGUAGGCCAACGUCAGUUUCGAUCACCAUAAAAUGAUCGGAGGAAUGUAGCUUCGAUCUUGUAUUGAAGUGUUAUAGCCUUUGGUAGAUGUGGUGACUGAGACUGAGGAUUGCAACGAAUACCCUUUGGGCUAUCCGUCUGACCUCUGAAAGUUGCUUAGGUGCCGAAAGCUUGCUUACGGUCAUCUAUGACGACGGUCAAAAGGUUAGAACGUGAUUAUAUUCGUUAAGGAUGUUGACGUA